CACACAUAUUCCACACAUUUGGCCCUAUAACACCCAUCUUCCCCUGGCCUUCCUAAAUACACUUUACAGAGACCUAAUAACAGAACACGAAAGAGGUUUAGUUAGAGCAGAUUUGCCAAAUGAUGUAAUUGUGUGGGAUAAUGUCAGCUUCCACCGAAACAACAUUGUUAGGGAAUGGUUUGCUGCGCAUGAAAGGAUAACAGUGGACUUCCAUCCUCCCCAUUCCUGAAACCGAUAGAAGAGUUUUGUUCAGCAUGGAGGUGGAAAGUAUAUGACUAUCGGGCACAAGAUCAGAUGUCUCUGUUAGAUGCCAUGAAUGCUGCUUGUGAGGAGAUCACAGGCGAUCAUUGCAGGAUGUCCACCAAGAAGAUGGGAACUUCUUGUGUCACGUACUGUGAGGAGGUACAAUUUCUUGUUUUUAUUUACAGAACUACCACAAGUUUUUUCUUUUUUGCAUUUAUUUUUUCUUUUUCGCAUGAAUGUCAUUUUGUGGCAAAUUUUCUGUUCACUAUAUAUGAUUUUACAUGUAAGAAAUAUGUAAAUAUGGACAUGCAAUUGUGAAUUUUCUGUUUACAUGUAACACAUUGCUACAAAUGUGCAUAUCCUUUUUCUGUGUACCACAGUAUUGACUUUUCCCAGUAAACUUUUACCUACUGUUGAGAUCGGUAUCUAAAAAGCUCAGUGUGAUACACAAUAGCAUUCAGCUACACAAAACUGGCAUUCUGGUAUAGUACAGCAAGCAGUCAGUGUCAACAAAAAAGUAGAACAAAACUUAAAUGUGUAUAUAACAAACAUUUCUCAAGUUGAUUGUCAAAAAGCAUCUAAACAUUUUGACCAGUACGGCUCACACGAUGACAAAAAAAAAACUGUUUCAUUUUGGUGGCUUUGGCCAAUUUACUGACACAAUAACUAGGUUUUGAAGCAUGAAUUAAAUGUUUUAGGUGAGUUACUACAUCUUGCAGACAUGCAAUAGAGUUGGGACAAUGGCACCAAUAGUUUAGAGAAAUGUUAACUGUUUAAAAAAACGAGUCAAAGCAAUUGAGAAACUGUAAAGUAGUCAAAAGUUAAGGAUUUUGUCCCACAUUCCAUGCAUGCAAUGUCUAACUCAAACUGUCAUUCUGCGCCGUUAUUUGCCUGUUUGUGGCCCACCUGUUAGCUUGCACAAUUCUCACCAUUCUCCUUCUACCUCUCAUCAAGAAGCAGUUUUCGCCCACAGGACUGCUGCUGACUGGACAUUUUAUGUUUAUUGCACCAUUCUCUGUAAACCCUAGACACUGCCAUACGUGAAAAUCCCAGGAGGGUGGCCGUUUCUGAGAUACGGGAACCGGCGCGCCUGGCACCGAUGAUCAUACGACGCUCAAAGUCACUUAGGUCACUUGUUUUGCCACUUCUAACAUUCAAUCGAACAGUAACUGAAUGCCUCGUUGCCUGUCUGCCUGCUUUAUAUAGCAAGCCACGGCCACGUGAGGUAAUGGGCUAGUGUACCUAAUAAACUUGCCACUGUGUGUAUAUAUUGCAUAUAAUAGCCACUGCUAGUAGCCAUGUAUUCAUCCAACAGUAAAUGAAAUGUCCUUUUCAUUUGAGGGCUACUAUCCAUGAGACCUAUAGGCCUAUACCCUCGUAAUGGCCUGCUCCAUAUCUAAAAGCCAUAUCAAAUAUCUUGGUUGUAAAACAGUUGACAUUGAGCUGAAUAUUGAGAGUUGAGAAAAAAAUAUAUACCUACAGAAAGCUGAUACCCUCCUCUCCUCGACAGUGGCAAGAGGAGGAAGCUUCCAAAGCUUUGUUUUUCCCGCAAUUGCAUUUUAAAAAGAUAUACUAUCAGAACGCAGUGUAGAAUGUGCUCUUUCUACGUUCAUAGGCACCGUGAUACAUGAUGUGGCUGUCUAACGGAUUACAUAGUCAGAGCAGGUCUCUUUACGGAUGCCGCGUUAGACUUUGAAUGUGAGUGUGCGUGACCUCAGGCCAUGUCACC
ensembl:lncRNA